UGCGCGGGAGAGCGCUUGCAUGGCAUGCAAGAGGUCGGCGGUUCGAUCCCGCUAGUCUCCACCA
rnacentral:tRNA from 1 species